AGGACGAACGCUGGCGGCGUGCCUAACACAUGCAAGUCGAACGGACGAGGGGAGCUUGCUCCCCAAGUUAGUGGCGGACGGGUGAGUAACACGUGAGCAACCUGCCCUUCGGAGGGGGACAACAGCGGGAAACUGCUGCUAAUACCGCAUAACGUAUUCUGGAGGCAUCUCCGGGAUACCAAAGAUUUUAUCGCCGAAGGAUGGGCUCGCGUCUGAUUAGAUAGUUGGCGGGGCAACGGCCCACCAAGUCUACGAUCAGUAGCCGGACUGAGAGGUUGAACGGCCACAUUGGGACUGAGAUACGGCCCAGACUCCUACGGGAGGCAGCAGUGGGGAAUAUUGGGCAAAUGGGGGCAACCCUGACCCAGCAACGCCGCGUGGAGGAAGAAGGCUUUCGGGUUGUAAACUCCUUUGACGAGGGACGAUAGUGACGGUACCUCGAAAACAAGCCACGGCUAACUACGUGCCAGCCGCCGC
rnacentral:rRNA from 1 species